AAAACGAAAAAUAGAAAAGGAAAUAUAUUUGUAGCAAAUUUUUCUUUACUUCACUUCAAAUACUACUUUUUUCUGUGUCUUUAGAUGGUGGUAACAGCAUAAACACGAAUCAAGUGAU
rnacentral:ribozyme from 14 species